GACGAACGCUGGCGGCGUGCCUAAUACAUGCAAGUUGAGCGCUGAAGGUUGGUACUUGUACCAACUGGAUGAGCAGCGAACGGGUGAGUAACGCGUGGGGAAUCUGCCUUUGAGCGGGGGACAACAUUUGGAAACGAAUGCUAAUACCGCAUAAAAACUUUAAACACAAGUUUUAAGUUUGAAAGAUGCAAUUGCAUCACUCAAAGAUGAUCCCGCGUUGUAUUAGCUAGUUGGUGAGGUAAAGGCUCACCAAGGCGAUGAUACAUAGCCGACCUGAGAGGGUGAUCGGCCAAAUUGGGACUGAGACACGGCCCAAACUCCUAAGGGAGGCAGCAGUAGGGAAUCUUCGGCAAUGGACGAAAGUCUGACCGAGCAACGCCGCGUGAGUGAAGAAGGUUUUCGGAUCGUAAAACUCUGUUGGUAGAGAAGAACGUUGGUGAGAGUGGAAAGCUCAUCAAGUGACGGUAACUACCCAGAAAGGGACGGCUAACUACGUG
rnacentral:rRNA from 1 species